rnacentral:rRNA from 1 species
CCCUUAGAUGUUCUGGGCCGCACACGCGCUACACUGAAGGAGGCAGCGUGUACUCCUGGAUCGAAAGAUUUGGGUAACCCGCGAAUCUCCUUCGUGCUAGGGAUUGAGGUUUGCAAUUAUCCUUCAUGAACGAGGAAUUCCCAGUAAAUGCAAGUCAUAAGCUUGCGCUGACUACGUCCCUGCCCUUUGUACACACCGCCCGUCGCUACUACCGAUUGAAUGAUUUAGUGAGGACUUCGGACUGGGACCGAUGCGGCUUUCGGGCUGCGUCGGUAUUCUGGAAAGAUGUCCAAACUGUAUCAUUUAGAGGAAGUAAAAGUCGUANCA